GGUCUGGCGGCGAGUGGCGAACGGGUGAGUAAUGUAUCGGAACGUGCCCAGUAGCGGGGGAUAACUACUCGAAAGAGUAGCUAAUACCGCAUACGCCCUACGGGGGAAAGGGGGGGAUCGCAAGACCUCUCACUAUUGGAGCGGCCGAUAUCGGAUUAGCUAGUUGGUGAGGUAAAGGCUCACCAAGGCGACGAUCCGUAGCUGGUUUGAGAGGACGACCAGCCACACUGGGACUGAGACACGGCCCAGACUCCUACGGGAGGCAGCAGUGGGGAAUUUUGGACAAUGGGGGCAACCCUGAUCCAGCCAUCCCGCGUGUGCGAUGAAGGCCUUCGGGUUGUAAAGCACUUUUGGCAGGAAAGAAAUCGCAUGGAUUAAUACUCUGUGUGGAUGACGGUACCUGCAGAAUAAGCACCGGCUAACUACGUGCCAGCAGCCGCGGUAAUACGUAGGGUGCAAGCGUUAAUCGGAAUUACUGGGCGUAAAGCGUGCGCAGGCGGUUCGGAAAGAAAGAUGUGAAAUCCCAGGGCUUAACCUUGGAACUGCAUUUUUAACUCCCGAGCUAGAGUGCGUCAGAGGGGGGUGGAAUUCCGCGUGUAGCAGUGAAAUGCGUAGAUAUGCGGAGGAACACCGAUGGCGAAGGCAGCCCCCUGGGAUGACACUGACGCUCAUGCACGAAAGCGUGGGGAGCAAACAGGAU
rnacentral:rRNA from 1 species